rnacentral:rRNA from 1 species
UGGGGAAUAUUGCACAAUGGGGGAAACCCUGAUGCAGCAACGCCGCGUGAGUGAAGAAGUAUUUCGGUAUGUAAAGCUCUAUCAGCAGGGAAGAUAAUGACGGUACCUGACUAAGAAGCUCCGGCUAAAUACGUGCCAGCAGCCGCGGUAAUACGUAUGGAGCAAGCGUUAUCCGGAUUUACUGGGUGUAAAGGGUGCGUAGGCGGCAGAGCAAGUCAGAUGUGAAAGACCGGGGCUCAACCCCGGGGCUGCAUUUGAAACUGUUUUGCUGGAGUCCAGGAGAGGCAGGCGGAAUUCCUAGUGUAGCGGUGAAAUGCGUAGAUAUUAGGAGGAACACCAGUGGCGAAGGCGGCCUGCUGGACCGGAACUGACGCUGAGGCACGAAAGCGUGGGGAGCAAACA